rnacentral:rRNA from 1 species
AUUGAACGCUAGCGGGAGGCUUUACACAUGCAAGUCGAACGAGUGGCGGACGGGUGAGUUAUAUAUCGGAAUGUGCCCAGGAGCGGGGUAUAACUACUCGAAAGUGGGUCUUAUACCGCAUACUAUGGGAGACGCCGAUAUGGGAUUAGCUAGGUGGUGGGGUAAAGGCGCACCAAGGCAACGACCCGUAGCUGGUUUGAGAGGACGACCAGCCACACUGGGACUGAGACACGGCCCAGACUCCUACGGGAGGCAGCAGUGGGGAAUUUUGGACAAUGGGGGAAACCCUGAUCCAGCCAUCCCGCGUGUAUGAGAAGGCCUUCGGGUUGUAAAGUACUUUUGGCAGAGAAGCGGUAUCUGCAGAAUAAGCACCGGCUAACUACGUGCCAGCAGCCGCGGUAAUUC